rnacentral:rRNA from 1 species
UAAUGCUUGGGAAUCUAGCUUAUGGAGGGGGAUAACUACGGGAAACUGUAGCUAAUACCGCGUAAUAUCGAAAGAUUAAAGUGUGGGACCUUCGGGCCACAUGCCAUAGGAUGAGCCCAAGUGGGAUUAGGUAGUUGGUGAGGUAAAGGCUCACCAAGCCGACGAUCUCUAGCUGGUCUGAGAGGAUGACCAGCCACACUGGGACUGAGACACGGCCCAGACUCCUACGGGAGGCAGCAGUGGGGAAUAUUGCGCAAUGGGGGCAACCCUGACGCAGCCAUGCCGCGUGAAUGAAGAAGGCCUUCGGGUUGUAAAGUUCUUUCGGUAGCGAGGAAGGCAUUUAGUUUAAUAGACUAGGUGAUUGACGUUAACUACAGAAGAAGCACCGGCUAACUCCGUGCCAGCAGCCGCGGUAAUACGGAGGGUGCGAGCGUUAAUCGGAAUAACUGGGCGUAAAGGGCACGCAGGCGGUGACUUAAGUGAGGUGUGAAAGCCCCGGGCUUAACCUGGGAAUUGCAUUUCAUACUGGGUCGCUAGAGUACUUUAGGGAGGGGUAGAAUUCCACGUGUAGCGGUGAAAUGCG